rnacentral:rRNA from 1 species
UUUUUGUAGCGAACAGGAUUAGAUUCCCCAGUAGUCAAAGCCGAAAAUGAUGAAUGUCAUAGAUUAGAUAAAUAAGUUUUUUCUAUAAAUGAAAGUGUAAGCCUUCCACCUCAAGAGUAAUUUGGCAACAUUUGAACUGAAAUCAUUAGACCGUUUUUGAAACCAGUAGUGAAGUAUGUUGUUUAAUUUGAUGAUCCGCAAAAAACCUUACCCCAAUUUUAAUAUUUAUUUCUAUUAUUGUUUUUUAUUUUCUUAUGAUUUGAUUUUUGAGGCGAUAUGAUUAUUGGUCAACUUCCUCACGGCUGUCUUCAGUUAAUGUCGCGAGACUUUGGUUAGUUCCAUUAAAUUAACGUAAACCCCAUUCCUUAAAAAAUUG